UACGAAGGGAGCUAGCGUUGUUCGGAAUCGCUGGGCGUAAAGCGCACGUAGGCGGAUGUGUCAGUCAGGGGUGAAAUCCCGGAGCUCAACUUCGGAACUGCCUUUGAUACAGCACGUCUUGAGUCCGGAAGAGGUGGGUGGAAUUCCUAGUGUAGAGGUGAAAUUCGUAGAUAUUAGGAAGAACACCGGUGGCGAAGGCGGCCCACUGGUCCGGUACUGACGCUGAGGUGCGAAAGCGUGGGGAGCAAACAGG
rnacentral:rRNA from 1 species